UAUGGCGACCGGCGCACGGGUGAGUAACACGUAUCCAACCUGCCGAUGACUCGGGGAUAGCCUUUCGAAAGAAAGAUUAAUACCCGAUGGCAUAGUUCUUCCGCAUGGUAGAACUAUUAAAGAAUUUCGGUCACCGAUGGGGAUGCGUUCCAUUAGAUAGUAGGCGGGGUAACGGCCCACCUAGUCUUCGAUGGAUAGGGGUUCUGAGAGGAAGGUCCCCCACAUUGGAACUGAGACACGGUCCAA
rnacentral:rRNA from 1 species